rnacentral:rRNA from 1 species
UUAAGUUAUUAAGGGCGCACGGUGGAUGCCUUGGCACUAGAAGCCGAUGAAGGACGUUACUAACGACGAUAUGCUUUGGGGAGCUGUAAGUAAGCUUUGAUCCAGAGAUUUCCGAAUGGGGAAACCCAGCAUGAGUUAUGUCAUGUUAUCGAUAUGUGAAUACAUAGCAUAUCAGAAGGCACACCCGGAGAACUGAAACAUCUUAGUACCCGGAGGAAGAGAAAGAAAAUUCGAUUCCCUUAGUAGCGGCGAGCGAAACGGGAAGAGCCCAAACCAACAAGCUUGCUUGUUGGGGUUGUAGGACACUCUAUACGGAGUUACAAAGGACGACAUUAGACGAAUCAUCUGGAAAGAUGAAUCAAAGAAGGUAAUAAUCCUGUAGUCGAAAAUGUUGUCUCUCUUGAGUGGAUCCUGAGUACGACGGAGCACGUGAAAUUCCGUUGGAAUCUGGGAGGACCAUCUCCUAAGGCUAAAUACUCUCUAGUGACCGAUAGUGAACCAGUACCGUGAGGGAAAGGUGAAAAGCACCCCGGAAGGGGAGUGAAAUAGAACCUGAAACCGUGUGCUUACAAGUAGUCAGAGCCCGUUAAUGGGUGAUGGCGUGCCUUUUGUAGAAUGAACCGGCGAGUUACGAUUUGAUGCAAGGUUAAGCAGUAAAUGUGGAGCCGUAGCGAAAGCGAGUCUGAAUAGGGCGUUUAGUAUUUGGUCGUAGACCCGAAACCAGGUGAUCUACCCUUGGUCAGGUUGAAGUUCAGGUAACACUGAAUGGAGGACCGAACCGACUUACGUUGAAAAGUGAGCGGAUGAACUGAGGGUAGCGGAGAAAUUCCAAUCGAACCUGGAGAUAGCUGGUUCUCUCCGAAAUAGCUUUAGGGCUAGCCUCAAGUGAUGAUUAUUGGAGGUAGAGCACUGUUUGGACGAGGGGCCCCUCUCGGGUUACCGAAUUCAGACAAACUCCGAAUGCCAAUUAAUUUAACUUGGGAGUCAGAACAUGGGUGAUAAGGUCCGUGUUCGAAAGGGAAACAGCCCAGACCACCAGCUAAGGUCCCAAAAUAUAUGUUAAGUGGAAAAGGAUGUGGCGUUGCCCAGACAACUAGGAUGUUGGCUUAGAAGCAGCCAUCAUUUAAAGAGUGCGUAAUAGCUCACUAGUCGAGUGACACUGCGCCGAAAAUGUACCGGGGCUAAACAUAUUACCGAAGCUGUGGAUUGUCCUUUGGACAAUGGUAGGAGAGCGUUCUAAGGGCGUUGAAGCAUGAUCGUAAGGACAUGUGGAGCGCUUAGAAGUGAGAAUGCCGGUGUGAGUAGCGAAAGACGGGUGAGAAUCCCGUCCACCGAUUGACUAAGGUUUCCAGAGGAAGGCUCGUCCGCUCUGGGUUAGUCGGGUCCUAAGCUGAGGCCGACAGGCGUAGGCGAUGGAUAACAGGUUGAUAUUCCUGUACCACCUAUAAUCGUUUUAAUCGAUGGGGGGACGCAGUAGGAUAGGCGAAGCGUGCGAUUGGAUUGCACGUCUAAGCAGUAAGGCUGAGUAUUAGGCAAAUCCGGUACUCAUUAAGGCUGAGCUGUGAUGGGGAGAAGACAUUGUGUCUUCGAGUCGUUGAUUUCACACUGCCGAGAAAAGCCUCUAGAUAGAAAAUAGGUGCCCGUACCGCAAACCGACACAGGUAGUCAAGAUGAGAAUUCUAAGGUGAGCGAGCGAACUCUCGUUAAGGAACUCGGCAAAAUGACCCCGUAACUUCGGGAGAAGGGGUGCUCUUUAGGGUUAACGCCCAGAAGAGCCGCAGUGAAUAGGCCCAAGCGACUGUUUAUCAAAAACACAGGUCUCUGCUAAACCGUAAGGUGAUGUAUAGGGGCUGACGCCUGCCCGGUGCUGGAAGGUUAAGAGGAGUGGUUAGCUUCUGCGAAGCUACGAAUCGAAGCCCCAGUAAACGGCGGCCGUAACUAUAACGGUCCUAAGGUAGCGAAAUUCCUUGUCGGGUAAGUUCCGACCCGCACGAAAGGCGUAACGAUUUGGGCACUGUCUCAACGAGAGACUCGGUGAAAUCAUAGUACCUGUGAAGAUGCAGGUUACCCGCGACAGGACGGAAAGACCCCGUGGAGCUUUACUGUAGCCUGAUAUUGAAAUUCGGCACAGCUUGUACAGGAUAGGUAGGAGCCUUUGAAACGUGAGCGCUAGCUUACGUGGAGGCGCUGGUGGGAUACUACCCUAGCUGUGUUGGCUUUCUAACCCGCACCACUUAUCGUGGUGGGAGACAGUGUCAGGC